rnacentral:lncRNA from 1 species
AUUCCAAGCAUCUGCUGGGCACAUUGUUACCAGGUUCCGGUGCUGCAGCCGCCCUCCAGAGGUGCUUUCUAGGUUCUUCCUGUUCCAAACAAAGAACCGAUCAAGUCAAGCACAAAAGGUAGCAAGCUUGUACAUUUAUUAAAGGCAGGAAGGAAGCCGGCUCUGCAGAGCGAGUUUGGGCAGGGGUGAGUAGGAGACGAAGCACACCCCACAGCGUGGGCACAGGCCCCUGUGGGGGCCGCGGCACCGCAGCAGCAGGCGCAGUGGCUUCUGCCUGGUGCUGCCCGCUCCCUGGGCUGAGGCCAGGCCUAGGCCAGCCUAUCCAAUUGUGCAGUUGGGAGCUGUCCCGCGAGGGUGUCCCUGGAGCUUGCAAUUAGCAGGGCACGGCACUUUCCCCGCCAGCCUGCCGCGUUCUCUCCAGCUGCCUGGCUAUGAGGUUUCCAUCAGUGACUCACAUCUGGGUUGUCUAAAGGAGCGCAGGUCAUUAGGCUGUGAAGCACAUCACCCUCGCCGUGUGUCCGAGCUCGGUCUUCCCCUCAGAAGCCUGACGUCAGCGAGGCCCUUGCUCCAGUCCUCCGCAGCACGAGCCUGUGCUCCGGCUCAACAGUGGACUUGGAUAGGGAGCUAGUUUUGCAAAAAGAAGAGAGGGCGAGGAGCACUGCUACUCCUGGCUGUCUUAGCCACGCUGCCUGGCUUCCAAGGCUGGUGCUGCCAGCGGGGCCCCCUGCCCAGUGCACGAGGCACUGUGGACUCGGUCCCAGGUACGGCGGGAGCCAUGCCUCGCAGGAUACUCUGGGGCGAGUCUUGCUUGCGCUCCCAGCUGCACAGCCCUGGCCUGGUUGCUCUCCUUGCUGGUGUGUGAACAGGCCAGAGCCUUCCAAUCCUGGAGCAGCAGCUCGAGUUUCUGUGUUCACAGUGAGGCUUUCUGGCUGACCCAGACCUGCAUUGACUUAGGAGAUAUCCUUCCAAAAGAAAAUGUUCUAUUUGUCCAGCAGUAACACUGUUUACAGAGCUGCAAGCUUUACUCUUUGAUGAUAAGGAAAGUUGAGAAACACAGAUGUUUUUCACUGGCCAGUGGUACUGUCUGGGUCAGCCUCCAGCUAGCAUAAAUAAUCGAGGAGGAACACAAUGCUCUUUGAAAUAUGAAAAAUCUUUUAAGAAAUGUAUUAUUGAUGCUAUGAAAACCAAAGACGAGAUUCAGGAAUGGAAAAUAAAGAUGGUACCUGCCAUACAGGGUGUGGUGCUGUCCACUCUGGCCAACAGACAGACAAGACCUUACAGGGAAUGAACAGCUGGUCACUGGCGCGGCACUGCUCAUGGGUCGAAUGCAGUGCUUCCAGCUCUUUCCCCAAAUGGCCUGGUAGAGAACCCUGCUUCCCAUUCACCUCGCCUCAACACGGCUGCAGGGCUUCGCCCUCAGCAUUAAUCUGUGUGUAUUUGCUAGACCGGAUCGUAAACGAAUGCAGGGAAUCUAAAUGGCCCCACCUCCGACGUGGCCCGCUGUGCACUGGGCAUGGGUCUAGAUCCCGAGGGUGCCCAGGGCUGGCCCAGCAGCCAGCAGAGAAAUCCAGGUUGUGGUGGCUUCCAUAUGACAGUUCCGCCCCUGCCUGCCUGCAGCACUUUCCACCCCAGACGCCCGGUCAGCCUCCGUGCUUCCUCUGCUUCCUCUGCUCUGGCUGGGCCCCACCAUCUGCACCCCGAGUCUGGGCUGUGGUGGAGUCUUAGCAGACGUGGCGCGACUGCGGCGUGUUUUUCUGUGCAAGGUUCGCUCUGUUCACUUCUGAUGUCCAGUGUUGCUUUUUCCAGUCAUUGGCCUAAUGAGCCCUCACUUCCCGUGGACUAACUUCUGGGUGCUUCCAGGCGGCCCACGGGGACACCCUCCUGCCGGGAGAGACAUCUGUGCACUGUUCCUUUCAGCCCUGUGCUGCCCCUGGAUGAUUUUAGUGACGGUGUCACCUGCUGCCUGGGAGGGCAGAGCCGAUCCCCUGGUGUGUCCCACAGGAGGCAUUGGGCUUCUCCUUCUCACCUUUAUUUCGACAGAGACACACUGAAUCCCCAAAGUAAGUUUUGCUGAAGGUGGAAAUCUGAUAAGGUGGCAAUAAACACUGAGACUAGGAUCAUGAAACUGAGCCCUCUUAUACUCAGUCCGGCUUCCCCAUCUUCGCUUUCAACCCAUGGGGCGGCCUUUCCUCUCGCUCUGCUCUCGAGGUCUGUUUCUGCAAGUGCAGACCUCGGCGUCCUGGGACAGGAGCUGCACCCACUCCGACCCUCAGCGCUGGUCCCUGCUGCCCGAGGGCCUCCUCUCUCCAGACCUGGAUCUCGGUGUAGCCGUGAGUUACAGGGGAAGAGACGCCUCAGGGGCCCAUCCCAGCCCGGCCAGGCCUGUCUGAGGGAUUUGCCAGGCGCCAGGCCUUCUCCGAGUGCUGGUGAUAAAAAUUUAUCUCGUUCAGAAAAGAUCAUUCUUCGGCUAAGAAAAGCCAGAUCUUGCUUGCUCCGGGCAUGGCUGGACACAAGUGACGUCGUCCGAUCCUCUCUCAUUUGACAGAGCUUCCUGUUCCGUAUCCGUCUCCAUCUCUGCCCCUCCCUCUUUUUCUUCUUUUUUCUCCUUUAUUUCCCCUUCUACUGAGUCCAUCUGCAUGGAAAAUGCCUCACAUUUUGACAAAAAUGACCACCAGCAAUUUUGGAUUUAUGUUAAAUGACAGCAAUCUCAACUCAGAGAGGAAGAUGUGAUGUCUUCCCAAUGGUCCUAGGAAGGUCCCAAAGGACACUGGAUGAGCCUGGCUCCCCACCCGGCACUGAGGGUAGAGCAUGGGAUUGCCCAGGCCGGGUGACUCCCACCCCUGUGGACAUGGCUGUGGUACUGUGGGUGGCCUGACAGCUCUUGUGUUUGUGGAGCAACAAGUUCAAGGAGAGCAGGGUUGCAGGAAGGGCAGUGGUAGGAAGAGGUGAAGUGACCCAUGUUGGCCAGUGUCACUGAGGCAGGGCCCGCAGGAGCGAAGUGUCCUUCGCCACAUGACGGACGCCACGGGGAAUUUUAGUCAGAGGAGAGAUGUGAUCCUUUGUCCUCUCCUUCAAAGCCUGCCCUGGCCGGUGUGGGUGAGGCGUGGGGAGUCACAGAACACAAGAGGUGGAAGUCUCCAUUUCUAAGAACGAAUGGGUCUCUCCCUUGGCCCGCGUUCUGCUCGAGACUCAUGUGGGUGUCCACUGCGGCCUCACACAGGGCUCCUAGCAGCAGUGCUCAUACCAGCCAAGCACAGGAACAACUCGAACGCCCACCAGCUGCUGGCUGGAGACCAAGCUGUGUUCAUCCUCCAGCAACGCCUGUACAGCACAAGAGGGAAGACUCAGCAGUAACAAUGCUGGCGCCACACGAGGGUCACAUCAGCACAACAUGAAGGAGCCUGGGCGUGCAGGACCACAGCUGUGAGACCGACUCCAUCUGUGGCAUCCGGAGAGCGCAGAGCUGUGGGUGGAGACAGAAGGUGAGCAGUCGGGUGGUCGCAGCAGAGGGCCCGUGGCGGGCGGGGAGCGCCCCACAGUGGAUUGUGGCAAUGGCUGCAUGGUGGGCUGUGCUCCCAAGGUGCUGAAUUUUAAAGUGUUUGAGUUGUCCGACAGCAUUUACAUUUUACCUCAAGACAGUUGCUUUUGAAGUGGCAUGCUCGUUUCUGGAUCGAGAAUGUGCAUCUUCCAGGCACUGGGGCCCUCCGUGGCUGCAGGCCUUGGGGACACUUGGUGGCCCCAGUUCCCAGAAUCCCCUUGCUCUGGGCUGCCCUGGCCUUGCCUUUAAAAAUCAUCCCUAUUUUAAAAUUAUGUUUCAACAUGAACAGAAAUGUUUGAUUGCAAAAAGGGCUCUAUGUAUAUCAAUGUAAAUACUUUUGUGGGCUGAUCCAACAAAAGGAACAUGACUCAUUGCAUGAUUUCUGUAGGAAGAAAAAGAUAUGAAGUCCAAGAAAUGGUUAGCAUUCAUUUUGUGCUUUACUGCUUGGAGACUGCUGUUAUUUAGCUUUUAGGGUAAACUUAUGCCUUUUAUCUACAAUGUCUUCCUAUCGGUAUUGGUUUUGGUCCUGGCCCCAGGCCCAGGGCCCCACACUUGCCAAGCCCACCACUAAGUUCCACCUCCAAUCCUUCUUUCUUUCAUAUUCUUCAGAGCAAAAGGACAGUUAGAGAUGUAGCUUAGCGAAACUAAAUUUCCCCUUCAGGAGAAAAAAUGACAAGUUCUUCAUUUUUUGUCUCCCUUGCCUGCGAAGUAUAUAAUGCUGGAAAUGAUUAGUGUAGAAUAGUCCUUUGUUAGAGUUCAUUUCUUGGUUACAAAAAUAUGAAAGAAUGAGGCUCCAAUUCCUCUCAAAUUCAGCAGCAAACAAGCAGCGCAGCUCGGCACGCUGAGCUGUGCAAUUCCCAGGCCCUUGGGAACUCUGCUGAGGCUCUGGAGGGAGGUGUGGGCCCAGCACACCCCGCAG